GACAGAGAAAUAGAGAGGCAGAGAACGCAGAAGGAGAGAGAGAUCGAGAGAUCAAAAACUGCACGCUCUAAAAAUUGAAACUUAAAACACACAAUCAUCCAUUCUUUCCAUUUGUUAACACAAACGGCCAAAAGAAAAGAUUUUCCCUGCCGAUGAAAAAGAAAAAACAGAAGCCCAUUGACAUAUUUCCACGGUUUGCAAUCAAGAAUGAAAAGAAGUCUCUCACUUUCCUGUCAGAUUUCUUCAUCUAACUGUCCAUUAAUUUCUUUCACCGUUUGACAUUCUCAUCUGCACGCCCUCAAGUUCAACCAGAUUUCAGAAUCGGAAUGAUUGUGUUAGUGAAAUAAGCUGCAUCACUUCCCAAUGAAAACUUCAAAGUCACUGUAACUGAGACCUGCUCUUCCACCCUGUUUCGUUUCUUCUCUGUAACUCCAUACACACAUGGUCAGAAUAGCGUGGUUAAUUUCCCUCUUUCGGAUACUCUCUCUGAUGAUUUGGCCCACUUUUAACUGUUUGCAUGUUCCGUUCCAGACCAACAGACAAAGGAAAAAAGAAAAUCCAAAAGGUGCAAACUGGAAUUUUGUGUAUGGACAUGAUGCUAUAGAUUUCUGGUGGGCAUCAGUAUAGCCAAUUCAUAUUUCAUGGGGCUGGUAUCUCACCCUUUCAAUUGCCAGGUGCUCUAUACAAAGGCAUAUAUUAAUUUUGAAAUAUCAAAGGGUGUGGUUGAAUGGAUCAGAGAGCUUGAUGAGAGACUUAUAGACAAAUUAAAGCAUUUGAAGGUCUGGAUAAGCCAUAAAAAGUUGGAGGUUACUUUUAACUUUGUGCCAAGAUAGAGUAAACCACUCAAAUUUCUUAUA